rnacentral:rRNA from 10 species
AAAUUGAAGAGUUUGAUCAUGGCUCAGAUUGAACGCUGGCGGCAGGCCUAACACAUGCAAGUCGAACGGUAACAGGAAGCAGCUUGCUGCUUCGCUGACGAGUGGCGGACGGGUGAGUAAUGUCUGGGAAACUGCCUGAUGGAGGGGGAUAACUACUGGAAACGGUGGCUAAUACCGCAUAACGUCGCAAGACCAAAGAGGGGGACCUUCGGGCCUCUUGCCAUCAGA